rnacentral:rRNA from 1 species
UACGUAGGUGGCAAGCGUUGUCCGGAUUUAUUGGGGUUAAAGGGUGCGUAGGCGGUCUUCUAAGUCAGUUGUGAAAUACUUCAGCUUAACUGGAGAGGUGCAAUUGAUACUGGAAGACUUGAGUACUGAUGAGGUAGGCGGAAUGGACGGUGUAGCGGUGAAAUGCUUAGAUAUCGUCCAGAACACCGAUAGCGAAGGCAGCUUACUAAGGAGUAACUGACGCUGAGGCACGAAAGUGUGGGGAUCAAACAGG